rnacentral:rRNA from 1 species
GACGAACGCUGGCGGCGUGCCUAAUACAUGCAAGUCGAGCGAAGUUUUUCUGGUGCUUGCACUAGAAAAACUUAGCGGCGAGCGGGUGAGUAACACGUAAAGAACCUGCCUUAUAGACUGGGACAACUAUUGGAAACGAUAGCUAAUACCGGAUAACAGCAUUAACUGCAUGGUUGAUGUUUGAAAGUUGGUUUUGCUAACACUAUGAGAUGGCUUUGCGGUGCAUUAGCUAGUUGGUGGGGUAAAGGCCUACCAAGGCGACGAUGCAUAGCCGACCUGAGAGGGUGAUCGGCCACACUGGGACUGAGACACGGCCCAGACUCCUACGGGAGGCAGCAGUAGGGAAUCUUCCGCAAUGGGCGAAAGCCUGACGGAGCAACGCCGCGUGAGUGAAGAAGGAUUUCGGUUCGUAAAGCUCUGUUGUUAGGGAAGAAUGAUUGUGUAGUAACUAUACACAGUAGAGACGGUACCUAACCAGAAAGCCACGGCUAACUACGUGCCAGCAGCCGCGGUAAUACGUAGGUGGCAAGCGUUGUCCGGAAUUAUUGGGCGUAAAGCGCGCGCAGGUGGUUUAAUAAGUCUGAUGUGAAAGCCCACGGCUCAACCGUGGAGGGUCAUUGGAAACUGUUAAACUUGAGUGCAGGAGAGAAAAGUGGAAUUCCUAGUGUAGCGGUGAAAUGCGUAGAGAUUAGGAGGAACACCAGUGGCGAAGGCGGCUUUUUGGCCUGUAACUGACACUGAGGCGCGAAAGCGUGGGGAGCAAACAGG